rnacentral:rRNA from 1 species
CGUGUAGGCGGAUAAGUAAGUCAGAUGUGAAAUUUCGGAGCUCAACUUCGAAGCUGCAUUUGAAACUGCUCGUCUUGAGGGUAGACGGAGAAAACGGAAUUCCAAGUGUAGCGGUGAAAUGCGUAGAUAUUUGGAAGAACACCGGUGGCGAAAGCGGUUUUCUAGUUUAUUCCUGACGCUGAGACGCGAGAGCAAGGGGAGCAAACAGGAUUAGAUACCCUGGUAGUCC